GUGGGGAAUAUUGGACAAUGGGCGCAAGCCUGAUCCAGCCAUGCCGCGUGAGUGAUGAAGGCCCUAGGGUUGUAAAGCUCUUUCACCGGAGAAGAUAAUGACGGUAUCCGGAGAAGAAGCCCCGGCUAACUUCGUGCCAGCAGCCGCGGUAAUACGAAGGGGGCUAGCGUUGUUCGGAAUUACUGGGCGUAAAGCGCACGUAGGCGGACAUUUAAGUCAGGGGUGAAAUCCCGGAGCUCAACUCCGGAACUGCCUUUGAUACUGGGUGUCUGGAGUAUGGAAGAGGUGAGUGGAAUUCCGAGUGUAGAGGUGAAAUUCGUAGAUAUUCGGAGGAACACCAGUGGCGAAGGCGGCCAUCUGGACCAGCACUGACACUGAGGCACGAAAGCGUGGGGAGCAAACAGGAUUAGAUACCCCAGUAGUCC
rnacentral:rRNA from 1 species